rnacentral:rRNA from 1 species
GUCUACGACCAUGCCACCCGGAACACGCUGAUCUCGUCUGAUCUCAGAAGCUAAGUGGGGUCAGGCCUGGUUAGUACUUGGAUGGGAG